GAGCAAUCUCCACUUGAAUCACAUUUUAGAAGAGGCUAAUGAUGUAGUUUAGAGGAAGGGGGCAUUUUAGAUUAGAAAGAAAUAUUAGAACCGAGGUUAUAGCCAUUCACUUAAUCAUCUAAAAAAUACUAUAGAUUUCUUCUGGUGCCAGGCAUGGAGGUUCACUUGAUCCAUGACUUAGGUGAAAAAAACUAUACAAAAUAGUCCUUCAAAGUGCUGAAACCAUAAAAUGGUUGUUUUCCACACUCUGGAAAUCCAUUUAACUUUUUGUAUAUGUAUAGGGCACUUAUUAAUCUCCUCAACUACUGUGGGUUUGAGGGAGGAGCACAGGAGGAAGCCAUCCGACAAAUUCUUUUUAUUAUUUCAUUAUAUUUUUCAUCCCCAUUUGGGGUCAGGUGUUUAGGGCUUGCAGAGAAAACUGUAGUUUUUCUUUGUGUCUCCUCAUUUCAUGUUCGUUCCUGCUGGUGGGUAUGGAUGAGAACCUCCACCUCGACCUUGGACAGCUGGAUGAAUUUCACGGGAGCUGUCGCUUGCACCAGUAAAUUGCUUUCUUCUCUGAACUGAGAAGAAGUAGCAUGGCUGAACCAAGAAAGCUGUCUGAGAAGUGAACAAAGACCUCGUUUGCUGAAGUGAUUGUCAUUUUACCAUGGCCUGGUUUGCUUUUGAUAUGAGUCCUUGGAACACCUUGGAGCAACUUGCUGAGUCUACCAAUUGGAAUGGUAUUUGAUGCGGCAAGCUGGGGAAGAGAAGAGUUGCAGGUGGGGGCAGGAGCUCUGUGGUAUUGGAUUCUCCCAAUUGCUGGCUAUGGGUCCUGCUCAUUACAUGCCACGUCCACCAAAGGAGCCUCUGCUCAUCCCG